rnacentral:rRNA from 1 species
GAUGAACGCUGGCGGCGUGCCUAAUACAUGCAAGUCGAGCGAACAGACGAGGAGCUUGCUCCUCUGACGUUAGCGGCGGACGGGUGAGUAACACGUGGAUAACCUACCUAUAAGACUGGGAUAACUUCGGGAAACCGGAGCUAAUACCGGAUAACAUGUUGAACCGCAUGGUUCAACAGUGAAAGACGGUCUUGCUGUCACUUAUAGAUGGAUCCGCGCCGCAUUAGCUAGUUGGUAAGGUAACGGCUUACCAAGGCAACGAUGCGUAGCCGACCUGAGAGGGUGAUCGGCCACCCUGGAACUGAGCCACGGUCCAGACUCCUACGGGAGGCACCAGUAGGGAAUCUUCCGCAAUAGGCGAAAGCCUGACGGAGCAACGCCGCGUGAGUGACGAAGGUCUUCGGAUCGUAAAACUCUGUUAUUAGGGAAGAACAAAUGUGUAAGUAGCUAUGCACGUCUUGACGGUACCUAAUCAGAAAGCCACGGCUAACUACGUG